ensembl:snRNA U6 U6 spliceosomal RNA
GUGCUGGCUUUGGCAUCACAUAUGCUAAAGUUGGAAGAAGACAGAGAAGAUUAGCAUGGCUCCUGUGCAAGGAUGACAUGAAAUUCGUGAAGUGUUCCAUAUUUUC